UACGUAGGGGGCAAGCGUUGUCCGGAAUCAUUGGGCGUAAAGCGCGCGUAGGCGGCCCGGUAAGUCCGCUCUGAAAGUCCAGGGCUCAACCCUGGAAAGCGGGUGGAUACUGCCGGGCUAGAAUCCGGAAGAGGCGAGUGGAAUCCCUGGUGUAGCGGUGGAAUGCGCAGAUAUCAGGAGGAACACCAAUAGCGAAGGCAGCUCGCUGGGACGGUAUUGACGCUAAGGCGCGAAAGCGUGGGGAGCAAACAGG
rnacentral:rRNA from 1 species